rnacentral:rRNA from 1 species
AGAAGCUUGCUUCUUUGCUGACGAGUGGCGGACGGGUGAGUAAUGUCUGGGAAACUGCCUGAUGGAGGGGGAUAACUACUGGAAGCGGUAGCUAAUACCGCAUAACGUCGCAAGACCAAAGAGGGGGACCUUCGGGCCUCUUGCCAUCGGAUGUGCCCAGAUGGGAUUAGCUAGUAGGUGGGGUAACGGCUCACCUAGGCGACGAUCCCUAGCUGGUCUGAGAGGAUGACCAGCCACACUGGAACUGAGACACGGUCCAGACUCCUACGGGAGGCAGCAGUGGGGAAUAUUGCACAAUGGGCGCAAGCCUGAUGCAGCCAUGCCGCGUGUAUGAAGAAGGCCUUCGGGUUGUAAAGUACUUUCAGCGGGGAGGAAGGGAGUAAAGUUAAUACCUUUGCUCAUUGACGUUACCCGCAGAAGAAGCACCGGCUAACUCCGUGCCAGCAGCCGCGGUAAUACGGAGGGUGCAAGCGUUAAUCGGAAUUACUGGGCGUAAAGCGCACGCAGGCGGUUUGUUAAGUCAGAUGUGAAAUCCCCGGGCUCAACCUGAGAACUGCAUCUGAUACUGGCAAGCUUGAGUCUCGUAGAGGGGGGUAGAAUUCCAGGUGUAGCGGUGAAAUGCGUAAAGAUCUGGAGGAAUACCGGU